UAGAACGAACGCUGGCGGCGUGCUUAACACAUGCAAGUCGAACGCGAAAGGGACUUCGGUCCUGAGUAAAGUGGCGCACGGGUGAGUAACGCGUAGAUAACCUGUCUUCAUGUCUGGAAUAAUACGCCGAAAGGGGUACUAAUACCGGAUAUUCUUGCUUUUCAUAAGUUAUGCAAGCAAAGGUGGCCUCUGCAUAUGCUACUGCAUGAAGAGGGGUCUGCGUACCAUUAGCUAGUAGGUGGGGUAAUGGCCUACCUAGGCGACGAUGGUUAGCGGGUCUGAGAGGAUGAUCCGCCACACUGGCACUGGAACACGGGCCAGACUCCUACGGGAGGCAGCAGUGAGGAAUAUUGCGCAAUGGGGGAAACCCUGACGCAGCGACGCCGCGUGAGUGAGGAAGGCCUUCGGGUCGUAAAGCUCUGUCAAGAGGAAAGAAGUGUACAAUGGCUAAUACCUGUUGUAUUUGACGGUACCUCUAAAGGAAGCACCGGCUAACUCCGUGCCAGCCGCCGC
rnacentral:rRNA from 1 species